rnacentral:rRNA from 1 species
AAACUCCCAAACCCUUUGUGAACGUUGCUGUUGUUGCCUCGGCGUGGGCGAGAGCUACCCUGGAGCUACCCUGUAGCCAUCCUGGAGCUCGCUGUAAGCCCCGCCGGAGGACCACUAAACUCUGGUUAAUAACUGUGUCUCUCUGAAUGCUUCAACUGAAAUCAGUUAAAACUUUCAACAACGGAUCUCUUGGUUCUGGCAUCGAUGAAGAACGCAGCGAAAUGCGAUAAGUAAUGUGAAUUGCAGAAUUCAGUGAAUCAUCGAAUCUUUGAACGCACAUUGCGCCCAUUAGUAUUCUAGUGGGCAUGCCUAUUCGAGCGUCAUUUCAACCCCUUAAGCCCCUGUUGCUUAGCGUUGGGAGUCUACGGCUUCGGCGUAGUUCCUGAAAGUUAGUGGCGGAGUUAGGGCAUACUCUUAGCGUAGUAAUCACUAUCCGUUACUGAGUAUCCUUAGCCUUUAGCCGUAAAACCCCCCUAUUCUUCUAGUGGUUGACCUCGAAUUAGGUAGGAAUACCCGCUGAACUUAAGCAUAUCAAUAAGCGGAGGAAAAGAAACCAACAGGGAUUGCCCUAGUAACGGCGAGUGAAGCGGCAACAGCUCAAAUUUGAAAUCUGGCCCUCGUGGUCCGAGUUGUAAUUUGUAGAGGAUGCUUUAGGCGCGGUGCCUUCCGAGUUCCCUGGAACGGGACGCCAGAGAGGGUGAGAGCCCCGUACGGUUGGACGCCUAACCUAUCUAUAGCUCCUUCGACGAGUCGAGUAGUUUGGGAAUGCUGCUCUAAAUGGGAGGUAAAUUUCUUCUAAAGCUAAAUACCGGCCAGAGACCGAUAGCGCACAAGUAGAGUGAUCGAAAGAUGAAAAGCACUUUGAAAAGAGGGUUAAAUAGCACGUGAAAUUGUUGAAAGGGAAGCGUUUACGACCAGACCUUUUCCAGGCGGAUCAUCCGGUGUUCUCACCGGUGCACUUCGCCUGGUUUAGGCCAGCAUCGGUUUCCCCCGGGGGAUAAAGGCUCAGGGCAUGUAGCUCUCUCGGGAGUGUUAUAGCCCUUUGCGUAAUGCCCUGGAGGGGACCGAGGACCGC